AUGGUAUGUGUUUCCCUAAAGGCUUGUCGUCCGGAUAAACUAUCUGUGGUAAUCACCGGAAACUGGGCCCAAGAAACAACUCAGCUGCAUUUUGCCAUUGGCCCUCCUUGUCAAAAUUGUCCCUUCAACCUUAGCUGUGUAAAGGUUGACUAUAGCCCACAUCCAGGAUUAUCCGGAAAACUAGAGACAUCUCUAAUGUGA